UGCUAAAAUGUACAAAAAACAAAAAAAAAACAAAAAUGAUGAUGAUCAUCAUCAAUUAACGUUCGUUCUUCCUUUUGGGCUACAAUUCUGAAAUUAAUUGUUGUCCUUGACUGUUUUGGUUUGUGCGUAAAUUUUUUUUUUUUUUUUU